rnacentral:rRNA from 1 species
AACGAACGCUGGCGGCAUGCCUAACACAUGCAAGUCGAACGAAACCUUCGGGUCUAGUGGCGCACGGGUGCGUAACGCGUGGGAACCUACCCUUAGGUUCGGAAUAACUCACCGAAAGGGGUGCUAAUACCGGAUAAUGUCUUCGGACCAAGGAUUUAUCGCCUUUGGAUGGGCCCGCGUUGGAUUAGCUAGUUGGUAGGGUAAAAGCCUACCAAGGCGACGAUCCAUAGCUGGUCUGGGAGGAUGAUCAGCCACACUGGGACUGAGACACGGCCCAGACUCCUACGGGAGGCAGCAGUGGGGAAUAUUGGACAAUGGACGAAAGCCUGAUCCAGCAAUGCCGCGGGAGUGAUGAAGGCCUUAGGGUUGUAAAGCUCUUUUACCCGGGAUGAUAAUGACAGUACCGGGAGAAUAAGCUCCGGCUAACUCCGUG